rnacentral:rRNA from 1 species
GACGAACGCUGGCGGCGUGCCUAAUACAUGCAAGUAGAACGCUGAAGGAGGAGCUUGCUUCUCUGGAUGAGUUGCGAACGGGUGAGUAACGCGUAGGUAACCUGCCUGGUAGCGGGGGAUAACUAUUGGAAACGAUAGCUAAUACCGCAUAAGAGUAGAUGUUGCAUGACAUUUACUUAAAAGGUGCAAUUGCAUCACUACCAGAUGGACCUGCGUUGUAUUAGCUAGUUGGUGAGGUAACGGCUCACCAAGGCAACGAUACAUAGCCGACCUGAGAGGGUGAUCGGCCACACUGGGACUGAGACACGGCCCAGACUCCUACGGGAGGCAGCAGUAGGGAACCUUCGGCAAUGGACGGAAGUCUGGCCGAGCAACGCCGCGUGAGUGAAGAAGGGUGUCGGAUCGUAAAGCUCUGUUGUAAGAGAAGAACGAGUGUGAGAGUGGAAAGUUCACACUGUGACGGUAUCUUACCAGAAAGGGACGGCUAACUACGUG